ACUGGAAAAAGACCAAACACAAGCAGUCAGGAAAGGCACCAGCACUAGUGUUUGCUGCUCCCACCUGUCAACUGGAAACACUGGUGAUGAACCAGAACUCUUGUUCUCAUUGAAAAUUUUACAUUAGAUACUUCUAUUUAGCCCUGAAUUUAGUGCUGAGCUCUACUUAUUUUUAUUUCCACUUAAGAAUGAAUUUUUUGUGUUGUGUUUUUUUUUUUUCUCUAAUGCAAGCACUCUGAUAAAAUGGAUUGUAAGGCUGAGUUGUAGUUAGAUUUGCUGUUGUAGUUAAAUCUGAUUGGUCCAGAUCAGCUGAAGUGGUCCUGGUUUGUAUUUUUCUUUUCAUUAAAAAGAACGCAGGAUUCUACUUUCAUCAAACAGCUACUAGAGUGAAAUAUUUUUAAUAGAUGUACCUUAUUACCAUCACAGAGCAAAAGCACUUCUAUUAAAUUCAAAUGCAGAUUCCUCACUGCUUUUUUUAAACUGGAACAGUCUCAACACUGCAGUUGUGAGAAGUGGGAAGAGAGAGGACAAUUUUUCACCAAGCAUAAAGCUAGUGCACAAGUCGAUGCAGCAGAACAAGGUGUCCUCCUGCCAAAGGUAGAAGCCCCAUCAUGGCAAACGUGUGGCCUGCCAUGCCUGUUGCCCUGCCGUGUACCACAGCGACCCAGCCAGUAUUGGACAAGGACCCCAAAGUUACAGAAGGACCUGUAUCCAGACUCUUGGGAACAGUGAAAGCAGUGGAGCAGGAAUUGCUCACAGCAGAAAAAAUCCACAUAAAAGAGAGGGUGUGAGAGGUAAGAGGAGCAGAGACUUAUUCACACCUCUGCCUCCACAAGGAGCUUCUGGGUGCCUGAUGAGUAGGGGGCAGAGAGCUGGUGAGCAGAUACUGGUGUGCGGGGAGGACACACGCUCCUGCACGGGUCAUACCGCAGCAUGGUCUGGGACGUGGGGCUAUGCAAGUGCUGUGCUUUUGGGUCCGCAGGUCUGAGCUAGACAACUCACAGGCGCACGUGUGACCACAGCAGCGUGGCAUGGGGGAACUCUGCGUCCUGCCAGCAGCACCGCUCGGCUCCCCUGCACACAGCUGGGGCCAGGAGCUGCUGCCACCCCCUGUGCUGCCCCAGCUGUCCCCUCCCACGCACAGUAGCCUAGGGCUUCUCCUGCACUAGGUUCUCACCGGGCAGCUGCGAGGUGCAGCACACCAACCACUACUGGUUUAGUUCUUCUCCAGCUUCGCCCAGCUCUGAACUGGCUUGCAGGUGCUGCACUAAGAAACCAAACCAAGCCCCAAGCCAGCACAAGCCCAGUCCACAGCCUCCUGCCUGUUGCAGCAGCCACCUCUGAUGUGCUGACCAGCACAGACCCACACCUUGGGUUAUUGCAGAGACCAUCAAAACACUGUUGGGUCAGAGCCAAAACUCUCCCAGUCCCAUAACCAAGACAUUGAGCUGCCUGAGCCCCAGCACUUGCUUCAGCUGUUGCAAACCUCACUGGCGUCUCUCCUUUGCCAGAUCACUGCUUUGAAGAGCGCAUCAACCGCAGGAGUAAUACUUGGAGGAAUUUUUGGCAAUGCUGUUUUCCUAACUGAUUGACAUGUGCUAGCCGCCGCCUUAUUAUUUAUAUUUAGAGAAUGCCCAGCGGGAGAAGCGUUUACAGCUGAUAGACCUGAACCAGAACCUGCCUGACAGAUGCAGGGAUCACUAUGAGGUUCUCCUGGAGGAGCAUGGGGUGGGGAGUGUUCUUAGGCAUGCUUUGUUGGUGCUUACUCCUCUACCCAUGGAGAAAGCAGACCUCAAGGGGUGAAAAAGCCAAUCCCAUCAAUUAAGGGCUUAAGAAACCUUUCUGUUACCCAGUGAGUAAAGUAACGCCUGACAGGUAAAGUUAGGAAUGUCUUAUCUUCGCCUCUUUAUGGGGAAGAGUCUGUAGGCUUUUUGCUCCCUCUCCCAUGCUUUGUUUACCCACAACACGUGGGGAUGAGCAGGCACGAGUCCUGCCUGGCCAUCUGGCUGCUGGACAGACUGGCACCCUGUGGGCAGCAGAGCUGCACCUUAGUGCAAUGAAGGGCUGUGAGGACUCUGGUCUGGGGAGCUGCUCCAGCCUGGAUGCAUCACUUUCAUUUAGGACAAGCAGGGAAUACCAGCUGUCACAGAUGAGACCGACAAGACACUUUGGAAAAUGAGAACUAGGCCAGCAUUUCAGUGAAACCCCCUCACUGUCUGUUUGUGUUCCCUUGGGCUCAGACUGGGUCACAGCUGGGCAUGUGGCUCGCUGCACUUGUUGCUGUGUUCAGCAGAGAGGACCCGUGUCCCACCACUGCGCUCCAUCUGUUAUUGCCACCGUGAGGUUCACUCCCAUUCAAGGGUGAGCGGUGAAGCAGCCCCAUGCUGUCAAAAGCUCUGCAAGACGUGACAGUGACAGCCGGCCCAUCCUGUGACCCAGCUGGCCCCCUGAGGCAGAUGGGGCGCUUGCCACCAACCAUGCUGUGCUGCUGCAGUCGACACAGACGCUUCGCUCUUCCCGCGGGCUGGCCAGGGAAAGCUGCUGCUAGGGACUGACUUUUCCAGGCAG